rnacentral:rRNA from 1 species
ACACGACUACAUUAGAUACCCCGGUAGUCCCAGCCCUAAACGAUGCGCGUUAGGUGUAUCGGUGACCACGAGUCACCGAGGUGCCGAAGGGAAACCGUGAAACGUGCCGCCUGGGAAGUACGGUCGCAAGGCUGAAACUUAAAGGAAAUUGGCGGGGGAGCACCACAACGGGUGGAGCCUGCGGUUUAAUUUGGACUCAACGCCGGGAAGCUCACCGGAUAAGACAGCGGAAUGAUUGCCGGGCUGAAGACCCUGCAUGACCAGCUG